rnacentral:rRNA from 1 species
GACGAACGCUGGCGGCGUGCUUAACACAUGCAAGUCGAGCGGUAAGGCCCUUUCGGGGGUACGACGAGCGGCGAACGGGUGGAGUAACACGUGGGUGACCUGCCCUCAGCUCUGGGAUAAGCCUGGGAAACCGGGUCUAAUACCGGAUAUGACUCCAUGACGCAUGUUGGUGGGGUGGAAAGCCUUGUGCGGCUGAGGAUGGGCCCGCGGCCUAUCAGCUUGUUGGUGGGGUGANGGCCUACCAAGGCGACGACGGGUAGCCGGCCUGAGAGGGCGACCGGCCACACUGGGACUGAGACACGGCCCAGACUCCUACGGGAGGCAGCAGGUGGGGAAUCUUGCGCAAUGGGCGAAAGCCUGACGCAGCGACGCCGCGUGAGGGAUGACGGCCU